UUUAAUAUCACUUUGAGGAAAUUUGUAGACCUGGCUAUACCUUGUCUCAGAUUAAUGAAUAUUUGGUUGGAUGAAACUGGCUCUUCCUUGGCAAAUUUUCUCCACCUAAGCCCAAAGCUCAGGCAAUGCCAUAAUUCUCUUCCCAUUUCUUGGUCCCCCAAGGUUGCUCAGGAGAGCUGGAGAAGCGAGGGAGUGGAUCUAGAAGACUGAACCUGGGCUUGGCGUGGUCAUGGGUGGUGGGCCAAGGGCUAAGGCCCAUCUGUGUCCUUCUCCCCCUUGCCCUUGGUAGUGGAGGGUGAUCUGAUGGCUUAGAGCUGCCAGACCUGAAGCUCUGUUUCUCUGGGCUUUUCCCAGAACCUCUGGAGGCUAAUCUCCAUGUGGCAGAAGAACAGCAAUCCCCAGGAACAGCCACUGGACGGAGCCCAUGUGUGACUACUCCAGCCUGUGGGCCACGUUCAGGUGUGUGUUCAGGGGCUCUCCAAGGGGACACUGUGGUGGCCCCUCGCCGUGGAAGAUAAUAGUUACCCUCCUCCUGCGUCACUUCUCUUCUCCCCUACCUGUGUUGCUGGUACUUCCAAAUAAAUUAUCAGCCCUUACAUCCUGUCUCAGGCUCUGCUUCUUGGAGGAAUGUAAGUGACACCCUGCUCCGCAUUAUAAAAGGCUCUGCUCCAAGCUUGGUAUAGAGUCAGCUAAUUUCU
rnacentral:lncRNA from 1 species